GCUUUUCUCUGUCCUGUUUCAGUGAAUAAGUAUAGCAAGUGAAGUCAUUAAUUUUCGUUUCUCCCUUAGUAUAUACUCUGUUUUUAUGGUAGUGUAUUGCGUAUGGUUUGCUUAUUACUUUUGAUAUGUCGUGUUAGGUUACCAGUGGAGUUGAGCGCCUUGAUAACAAUGAUGCCAUUGCAUAGUGCCAUUGCAUCAGCAUGCUUAAAAUCAGGCUUAUCAUUAGAAUCUGAAAGCUGGGGAUUGGUCCCUCAAGGCAUUUCAAUGCCUUUAUGACRACACCGUUCMUGAAGCAGAUGUUCGUAUGAGUAGGAACACAAGUCGAACAAGUUCCAACUUUCGAAAUGUAAUGUGACUUUAGGAUAUGAAAAUGUUGUGUUCAAUGCGUUAUACAAGAUCAUAUUUGCUCAAAUUUCAAUCCUUCUUUUGAUUGUUUCCCAUCAACCUGAGUUGCAUAUGUUGUUCAUUUGGAAAAUAAAGCAUGGAAGUUGUAGAAAGGAUCUAUGUUCAUGGAACUAAACAGUUGGGCAGGUAUUGUCUUGUCUUGUCUUGUCGUUUUCUGGAUAUUUGUGCUCUUUAUCCGAGCCGCUUACCUUUCGAACUCCUAUUAUAACAAUGCUUAACUGCUCAUC